UCAUUGAGAUAUCAGCAGAUCCCCUGCCUUGGAUGGCUCUGACCUCUUGCAGUGCCUGUUUCCUCCCUCUGCCUGUGUUAAACCGUUGUAUUGAUGGCCUCUGCUGCUGCCUGUUCUCCUACCCCUGUAUCGCAGUGACUGCAUGGCAUUGGGCAUCUGAUCAAAGGCUUAACAGCCUUACAUCACUGAACAGCACCAUUCAGUUACAGAAGGGAAACUUACUGCCAUGUAGCAGCUCCUGUCAGUG
rnacentral:lncRNA from 14 species